GACGAACGCUGGCGGCGUGCUUAACACAUGCAAGUGGAGCGACGAACCAGGGCUUGCCCUGGGGCAGAGCCGCGAACGGGUGAGUAACACGUGGGUAACCUGCCCUCAAGCAGGGGAUAACACUUGGAAACAGGUGCUAAUACCGUAUAACAACAAAAACCGCAUGGUUUUUGUUUGAAAGAUGGUUUCGGCUAUCACUUGAGGAUGGACCCGCGGCGUAUUAGCUAGUUGGUGAGGUAAUGGCUCACCAAGGCAAUGAUACGUAGCCGACCUGAGAGGGUAAUCGGCCACAUUGGGACUGAGACACGGCCCAAACUCCUACGGGAGGCAGCAGUAGGGAAUCUUCCACAAUGGACGAAAGUCUGAUGGAGCAACGCCGCGUGAGUGAAGAAGGGUUUCGGCUCGUAAAACUCUGUUGUUAAAGAAGAACAGGUGUAAGAGUAACUGUUUACACCGUGACGGUAUUUAACCAGAAAGCCACGGCUAACUACGUGCCAGCAGCCGCCGUAAUAC
rnacentral:rRNA from 1 species